CAAAGGCAGACGCCUAGCUGACGGAGCCACCCAGGCGCCCCUCUAUGGAAAAUUCUUGACAUGAUAUAGAUUUGUGAAUCUCCUACACUAACCCCACAAUAGAGGUUACACAUGUGAAAAGAAAAUCUCUGGGGUAUAGCUUAAUAUUUUCAGCAAUAAAAUCUGACAUAUAGUCAGAUUUGCUCUAAGGAGAAGAUAGUAAAUACUCUUUUUAUCUCAUGAAUACUUAUUAAAUAUCCACUUGUUGUCAAACACUAUGCUGGGCACCCCAUACUUCAAUAGGUGAAUCAUUCAGGGUAUCUGUCAUGAAGCAGCUUGAGCUCUAGCAAAGGAGAGACAUGAAUCAUAGGCACCCUGUCCCCUCCCCACCAAGGCCUGACUCCUCUGAGGAUUAAUCUUUUCCCAGAAGACUCCUCAGUCCCUGUGUAAAUAGGCUUCUUGUGGCCCAUAAAUAGUUUAAGAUGUAGCUGGAUCCAUGACGUAUAUACAAAUAAGCACUAUGUCACUCCAUUGUGGAAAACAUUACAAUAGCGGCUGAAACUGCUAUAUGACCCACAGAAGUUCAGCAGAAGAUACCACUUCCUAUUUCUGGAAUCAGGAAGGAUUCAUGAUGAAGCUGACUUUGAGCCGUGCCUUCAAGGACAGAGUUAGGCAAGGCAGAAGCAAUCCAGGGGAAAGAAAUACCUGAGUCAAAGACCCAAGGCUGGAAGGUACAAGAAAAGCAUGGCUGGAGAAGAGAACCAACGGCUCUUAGUGACCAGCUGUGGAAUCUGAGCUCUAAUCAAAAGGCAAGGGGAAGUGAGCAGGAACAUGGUGCAUCCCAGAGCAGCGCUGAGGGAAGUUGCGUUGAGUGCAUACCACAGAGCCUGGCAGAGUAUAGCUGUUUCAUAAACGUUCACGUUCUGAGAGACUUGAGAAUACAAAGCCAGGAGAACAGUGUUGGCCAUUGAAAUGGUCAGUGAGGUUGUGAGGCACCAAGGGCCAGAGCAUAGGAUGGCGAUGGCAACAGAGAGGCAGACAUCUGAGAGAUAGCCUGGGGAGAAUUGCUUGGGAGAGGAGUCAAAUCCAUCUUAGAGGUUCUGCAUCUUCUUCCCUAUAUUUUCUUGACACCCUGGUUUCCUGUAGACUCGCCUACAAAUCUUGACUGAAAAAUGUGAACAAUGCUGUCAGGGGUUUCACUUCUAACUGUCAUGGAAUUCAUACACUGACACAUGUCUCCCACUCAGAAAUUUCCCUAGAGAUCAUGGGAUUUUAUUUCACUUUUGGUUCACUUCGCUGACGUGAUCCUUACCAAGAGGCCUCUUCUGCACAGCCCACGAUUGCCAACUGUCGACUGCCGGCUGAUAGUUGCUCAAUGGCCUGAAGUGCCCUCUACCCAACCAACCCUCUGCUCUGAAUCCUAUCCAUCCGUCAAGGCUACUACCCCUCCCACACUGUCCCUGCCAUUUACCCCACCUCUGUCAGCAUUAACCUGUCCCCUCCAGGACUCUCAGAGUCCUCUGGGACCACCUCCCUCAGCUCAUCUCCCUCCAGACUUCCUGUCUCGGUGCUUGAGGGCUGGGCAGAUUCUUACUUAUUGCCCUGGUCCCAACACCUUACAUGGUGCCAUGUGCCUGGCAUUCAGCUGGUAAUUGUUAGAUCUUUGUUAAACUCAGAGGCUAAACAUUUCAACAUGGGUCAGAUUAGGAUCUUAGAAACUUCUAGUUCACUUACCAGCGUUCUUUUGCUUCUGCCCCCUUUCAAGCUAGGGAACUUUGUCUUUGACUCAUGCGUGACUGAGUAAGGAUCCUUUCUGUUUGGUUUCUCCAGGCCCGGCUGAGGAGCUCAGGCCUGCUGCCCCCCAUCUCCUGCCUGUGGACAGCUCACACUGCUUGCCUGCCCCUCCCUGAAGUGUGCGACAGGAGAGCGUUGGUCACCCCUAAUUUCUCUGCUUCAGGAGCUCUCAAAUUAUUUGACAGCUGUCAUUUCUUCAUCACAAACAUAAACACAUAUUUUUUAAACCCUA